rnacentral:rRNA from 1 species
UGGCGGCGUGCCUAAUACAUGCAAGUCGAGCGAACUGAUUAGAAGCUUGCUUCUAUGACGUUAGCGGCGGACGGGUGAGUAACACGUGGGCAACCUGCCUGUAAGACUGGGAUAACUUCGGGAAACCGAAGCUAAUACCGGAUAGGAUCUUCUCCUUCAUGGGAGAUGAUUGAAAGAUGGUUUCGGCUAUCACUUACAGAUGGGCCCGCGGUGCAUUAGCUAGUUGGUGAGGUAACGGCUCACCAAGGCAACGAUGCAUAGCCGACCUGAGAGGGUGAUCGGCCACACUGGGACUGAGACACGGCCCAGACUCCUACGGGAGGCAGCAGUAGGGAAUCUUCCGCAAUGGACGAAAGUCUGACGGAGCAACGCCGCGUGAGUGAUGAAGGCUUUCGGGUCGUAAAACUCUGUUGUUAGGGAAGAACAAGUACGAGAGUAACUGCUCGUACCUUGACGGUACCUAACCAGAAAGCCACGGCUAACUACGUGCC